rnacentral:miRNA from 1 species
AAAGAGACCGGUUCACUGUGA